rnacentral:rRNA from 1 species
UUUCGCAAUGCCCGAAAGGGUGACGAAGCGACGCCGCGUGGGUGAGGGAGGCCUUCGGGUUGUAAAGCCCUGUCAGGAGUUAAGAAAUGUAAGUGCGCUAAUACCGCAUUUAUUUGACGAAGGCUCCAAAGGAAGUCACGGCUAACUCUGUGCCAGCAGCCGCGGUAAUACAGAGGUGGCAAGCGUUGUUCGGAAUUAUUGGGCGUAAAGAGCACGUAGGUGGGUUUGUAAGUCAGAUGUGAAAGCCUCCUGUUCAACGGGAGAAUUGCAUCUGAAACUACAGAUCUUGAGUGUAGGAGGGGAGAAUGGAACUUCUGGUGGAGCGGUGAAAUGCGUAGAUAUCAGAAGGAACGCCGGCGGCGAAAGCGAUUCUCUGGCCUAUUACUGACACUCAGUGUGCGAAAGCUAGGGUAGCAAACGGGAUUAGAUACCCCGGUAGUCCUAGCCGUAAACGAUGGGCACUAAGUAGAGGGGUUUUA